GAUGAACGCUGGCGGCGUGCCUAAUACAUGCAAGUCGAGCGAACGGACGAGAAGCUUGCUUCUCUGAUGUUAGCGGCGGACGGGUGAGUAACACGUGGAUAACCUACCUAUAAGACUGGGAUAACUUCGGGAAACCGGAGCUAAUACCGGAUAAUAUUUUGAACCGCAUGGUUCAAAAGUGAAAGACGGUCUUGCGGUCACUUAUAGAUGGAUCCGCGCUGCAUUAGCUAGUUGGUAAGGUAACGGCUUACCAAGGCAACGAUGCAUAGUCGCAAGGCGAGGGUGGUCGGCCGCCCUGGGACGGUGACCGGGCACAGUGUCCCUCGGGAGGCAGCCGUAGGGCAUCUUCCGCCAGGGGUGAGAGCCUGACGGCACAACGCCGAGUGCGUGAUGAAGGUCUUCGGAUCCUAAAUCUCUGUUAUUGGGGAAGAAAAUAUGUGUAAGUAACUGUGAGCAUCUUGGCGGUCAAUAAUUAGAAAGCCACGGCUAACUUCGUGC
rnacentral:rRNA from 1 species